ACAGAAAAAAAUCAGAACACAGAGCCCCACAACCCAAGAAGAGCCACACAGACAGCUCACCAGAAGGUUGCAAGACUCAAAAAAGAAGAAGAAGAAGAAGAAGAAGAAGAAGAAGAAGAAGAAGAAGAAGAAGAAGAAGAAGAAGAAGCAGCAUGCUGAACAGCGUUAGCCACAUUCCUUUUAGCAGACUCCUCUUAAAGGGACAGACACACACACACACAAACAGAAUAUCACACACACAUAGACAUCUAACUCUCGCAACACUCUCACAGAAACACAGAGCCCGGCAGCUACUGAGGCUGUGUGGUUCUACAGGAAGCCCCACCUAGCAGAAAGCAACCCCAGAAAACACAAGGGUUGUACAUAAAAAUCAGAGUGGGGCAAGUUUCCAAAAGACUCACCCCUACAACAUCUGGGCCAUCCUGAGGAAUUAGGUGGAUACUUUUGGAUCCUUAGGGAUUUACAGUUUAUUUCUGGGACUUUUAUUGAUGUUUCUUCAGAGUCACUCAUAUCUGCCCUCUCUUAGGAUCAUGAGAUGAUUCCGCGGAUCCCACAAAGAAGACAGGCAACAGUCCAACAUCAAUGCAACUCCAUGGAGGUCCCCUUUUCCGCCAAGCUGAAGGGACUUUUGACUAAGCAAUGUGACAUUCAUUGUGAUACUAGCCAGAGCUCACAGUCUAGCCAGGUGCCCUCAGAUUAUGGCAUAGGCAUUCAUAAUGCAGGUUUGGAUGCCAGACUUUCAGAGCUAUCAACCUGCCUAAUCAGAAAAUAAUGGUACAGGAAGAGCCAGCAAGCUACGGGGGAAAACUUCCUGAAAAAAAAAAAAACAACCAUGAGGCCCUGAAACUCCUGACCUCAGGGCCCCUUCAGGUUGUCUCGUGGUCAGGUCUAGCUAAAGGAGGAGGCGUUUUGAGACUGUGAGGUGGUCUCAGGAAACUGCUCUUCUGACUCCAUUCCCAAAAGGAGUGUGAAAGAAUCAGGUCCCAUGGGGAUUGCAAUAUAGUCUGUUGUGUUUUUCAGGGUUCUUUGGGUGAUGGAAUUAUACCUAAGACCUCAGAGAUGGGUGUCAGUGAAAGAUGGUGGCACUCUAGACCUCACUGCCUCUUUUUAUCCUGGGACUCUGGGGUCUUUCUGGGAAAUGCAAUAGCCAAUACAAAGGCAAGUCCAAGGUGAAGCAGUGUUCUUACACCUCGGAGCUUCCCACAAGUGCAAAUGAGGUUGAUACAGUGUCUCACAGGCAUUCUGUUGCAAUGGCAAGCCUGAAAAUGAUGUCCAGUAGUGCUGUUGAGGGGCACUGGGAUUCCUGAUGAAAGCAAAGAAAAAUUAAGGCUUGCCUGAGAGAGAGAGCUGUAUUUUGCAGGAUUCCAAAUGAUUUUCAAUGAGUUAUGUCAGAGAACCCAAAAGCCUCCUGCAAAGGGCAAACCACCUCAGCCCCCACAAUGAGAAAAUGACCCACAACCUAGUUCACAGCCAGCCUAUCCAAAGUCCUUUUUGCUCUCUGAAAUUUCUGGCAGCUAAAUAAUCUGUAGCGAGAAGCAGUUCCAUCCAGCAACAGCCCAAUGAAAGAGCUCCUCCACAAUGAGAAAAACAUGCAGAUGAAAUGAAACAGAGGAUAGAUUACCGGGAAAAACCCAGACACCACUGUCUGCUUCCCAUCCUACAGGAAUCAUGCAGCCCUCCAAUAGAAGUGGAGGAAUAAGAGUUUUAAUGGUGGCAGCUGUAAUGGGAAUUUAGGGUUUUAAAAGUAUAAAAGCUACCCAGUCAUUAAAACGUGGCAGUGUUUAGAAUGAAACUCUCAUGAAAUGGAUUCCCAUGAGGGUCAUUCUUUGUGAACUGGGAAACGUUUAGUGUGGAAGUCAUUGAGCUGGAAACAGGAAAGCCUAGGCUGAUGAGAAACAUGGAAGUCAGGGAAAGAAAAGGCAAGUGUGGUUGUCACAUCCCACCCAACAUCAAUCUAUUCCACUCCCAUUUGGCUCAGGAUAUGAAAGCCCUCAAAUCAGGUGUUUGCCAGGUUGGUCCCAAUUUCCAAUCCAAAUGUUUCUUGCACAUUAGAGUACUCACACCUGAGCACUGGUCCUUGGGGUGCACUGCUUGGGCAAUUAGAGGAAUGCAGGGAUGGAGAUGGCAGCACCUUCUGUGUCAUCUGUCUUUAUUUUUUAUUUUUAUUUUUUUGCAGGUGAAGUUGCGGGACCCAAUCCACCCCUCACCAGGUUGUAUCCUCACCCCUAUCUGACCUUAUUGCUGCUCACACUCUAUGUCCCAGGACGAAACCCAAGAUGAUUGAGAAUUGCCCCCUCAUGACGUGAAGCACAUGCUCAAAGGGGGUCCAAAUAUGAGUUGAAGUUGCAGUAACCCAUCCAGCCCUCACCAGAUUGAAUCCUCAACCCUAUCUGACCUUAUUGCUGCUCACACUCUAUGUCACAUGAUGAAAUCCCAAGACAAUGGAGAAUUACCCCAUCAUGACGUGAAGCACCUGCUGGGCUGGAAACCAAAUUCGACGUAAAUUCAAAAGGCCCUGCAGCAGGACUACUACUACCUCUUUCUGGGUUGCCUGCAGGACAACAAAACACUGGAAGAUGUCUAUUUUUUGGUGUGGAGUGAUCCUCUUCUUUCUAGAAGAGUGGGCUUUUUUUGCAGGGGUAGGUGAUUUGGAUGCCAGCGGGUCUCAGCUCACCUCCCAAUUCACUGCAGAUUCAUGAUACACAAAAAUGUAAAGAACAUGGAACCCUUCAGCUUAACCAGAGCCACACAGAUAGGCCACCAAAAGGUUUUGAGACUCGAAAAAAAAAAAAGAACGCUGAAAUGCAUUAGCACAUUCCUUUAAGCAGACUCCAGUUUCAAGCGCGCGCACACACACACACACACACACACACACACAGAAAAUGCCACACACACACACAGAAAUCCAACACUCGAAACACUCCGACAGAAACACACAGCCUGGUAAAUCCUGAGGCUCUGUAGUUCUGCAGAAAGGUCCACCUGGGAGAAAGCAACCCCAAGGAAAACAGCCGGGCUGUACCUAGAAAUCACAGUGGGGCAAGAUUUAAAAAGACCAAUUGCUACAAUCUAGGCAGGCCCGAAGACUCCUGCAGAUCCUUGUGGAUCCUUAGGGACUUGAGUUUUAUUCUUGGGGCUCUGCUUGAUGUUCUUCAGGCUGGCUCAUAUCUGUGUUCUCCUAGAAUUAUAAGACUAUCCCAUGAAUCCCACAGAGAAGCCAAGCGAGAGUCCACCGCCCACACACCUCCAAAGUCUCCUUCUCCUUCAAGCCGCAGGGACUUGUCGCUAGGCAAUGAUGACAUUAAUUGUGACACUAACCAGAGUUCAGUCAGGCCUCGUGCCAGGAGACUAGCACAUGCACAUUUGUGAUGCAGGAUCGUUCACCUGGCAGUCAGAGCUGUCAGCCUGCCCAAGCAGAGGAAAAUGGUACAGGCAGAGCCGGCAUGUUAUCAGGAAAAAGGCUGCCUGUGAAAACCCACUGCAAAGCUCUAAAAGUCUCAACCUUACAGCCGCUUCAGGAAGUCUCCCUGGCCAUGUCCCACUGGAUGAGGAGAUGUUUUGAGACUGUGAGGUGGUCACUGUAAACUGCUCUUCUGGCUGUACUUCUGAAAGAGACUGUGCGCAAGAAUUAGGUCCCAUGGGGAUUGGAAUAUAGUCCGGUGUGUUGUUGUGGUUUCUUUGGGUGACAGAAUCAUACCUGAGACCCCAGAGGUGGAUGUCAGUGAAAGAUAGCUGAGCUGUCUCCCCUUAUCGUUUGCCUCAUGGGUGCUCUCUGGAAAUGGCAGGAACCAUGACAAAGGCACACCAAUGUGGAUCAGUGUUCUCACGCCUUGGACUGGUCUCUCAAGCAUGCAGAUGGGGGUGAUGCAGUGUCUCACAGAUUGUCUGUGGCAAUGACAUAUCUGACAAACAGGCCCACUAGUGCUGUUGAGGGGCACUGUGGCUUCCAUACCAAAGAAAAGAAAAACCAAGACUCAAAUGAUAGAAUGAGCAGCCUUGUGCUGGAGUCCAAGUAAUUUUCAAAGAUUCUGGUCAGAAGACCAAAAGCCUACUGAAAUGUGGAAAUAACCUCAACCCCCACAACAAGACAACAACUCAAAACCUGGAGCGUGGCUAGGCUACCCAAAGUCUCUUUUGCUCUCUGAAAUCCCUGGAAGCUAAAUAAUCUGUGGUGAGAGGGAGUCCCAUAUAGCAAAAGCCCAAUGAAAGAGCCCCUCCAUAAUGAGAAGGCUGUGCAGAUGAGAUGAAACGUAGGCUAGAUUACCAGGCAACAGCUAGACACAGCGGCAUACUUCUCAUCCUACAAGAAUCAUGAAGCCCCCUCCGAUAGAAGUAGGAGAACAAGAGUUUCAUUUCUGGUGGCUGUAAUGGGAAUUUACAGUUUUAAAAGUAUCAAAAAAAGUAUUUAAAAGUAUCAAAGCUACCCAUUAAAAUGUUCAGAAAAAAACACUCAUGCAAUGGAUUCUCAUGAGGGCUGUUCUUCAUGACCAGGGAAACAUUUGGUGUGGACAUUGUUAAGCCAGAUCCAGGAAAGCCUAGGUCAAUGAAUAACAUAGUAGUCAGAAAAAGAAGAGGCAAAUAUGGAGGCCAAAUCCCACCAGGCAUCAAUCCAUUGCACACCCAUUUGGCUCUGGGUAUGAAAGUUUCAAAUUGAAAAUUUGCUUGGAUAACCCCAAUUUGCACCCAAAUGUUUCUUGCACAUUGGAGUACUCCCACUGGAACACGAGAACAGGGUGUGGACUGCUUGUGCAAUUAAGGGAAUGCAGGGAUGGAGUUGGAAGCACAUUCUGUCUCAUCUGUCUUAAUUUGUUUUGCAGGAGAAGUUGUGGGAUUCCAUCCACCCCUUACCAGAUUUUAUACUCACCCCUAUUUGACCUUACUGCUAAUCACACUCUAUGUCCCAAGAUGAAAUCCCAAGAUGAUGGUGCAGUGCUACCUCAUGAUAUUAAGCAUCUGCCAGGCUAGGAACCAAAUUUGAGGUCAAUUUAAGGGUCCUGUGGAAAGAACUUCUAGUGUCUCUCCUUGGGUUGGUGACAGGACAAUGAAAAAUUAAGAGAUAUCUGUUUUUUGGUGUGGUGUGCUUCUUUUCAGAAGAGUGACUUUAUUUUUUUUUGCAGGAGGAGGUGAACUGGAUGCUGACAGGUCUCGGCACACCUCACAAUUC
rnacentral:lncRNA from 10 species